rnacentral:rRNA from 1 species
GACGAACGCUGGCGGCGUGCCUAAUACAUGCAAGUCGAACGCUGAAGGAGGAGCUUGCUCUUCUGGAUGAGUUGCGAACGGGUGAGUAACGCGUAGGUAACCUGCCUGGUAGCGGGGGAUAACUAUUGGAAACGAUAGCUAAUACCGCAUAAGAGUAGAUGUUGCAUGACAUUUACUUAAAAGGUGCAAUUGCAUCACUACCAGAUGGACCUGCUUUGUAUUAGCUAGUUGGUGGGGUAACGGCUUACCAAGGCGACGAUACAUGGCCGACCUGCGAGGGGGAUCGGCCACACUGGGACUGAGACACGGCCCAGAGUCCUGCGGGAGGCAGCAGUAGGGAUUCUUCUGCAAUGGACGGAAGUCUGACCGUGCAACGCCGCGUGAGUGAAGAAGGUUGUCGGAUCGUAAAGCUCUGUUGUAAGAGAAGAACGAGUGUGAGAGUGGAAAGUUCACACUGUGACGGUAUCUUACCAGAAAGGGACGGCUAACUACGUG